rnacentral:rRNA from 1 species
UACGUAGGUGGCAAGCGUUGUCCGGAUUUACUGGGCGUAAAGAGCGCGCAGGCGGUCGUUCAAGUCGCGUGUGAAAGCCCCCGGCUCAACUGGGGAGGGUCACGCGAUACUGAUCAACUCGAAGGCAGGAGAGGGUAGUGGAAUUCCCGGUGUAGUGGUGAAAUGCGUAGAUAUCGGGAGGAACACCAGUGGCGAAGGCGGCCAUCUGGACGGAUACUGACGCUGAGACGCGAAAGCGUGGGGAGCAAACAGG